AGCACGUGGAGAAGGCGGAGCCGCCCAGGUCCCCCCGGGCGUCGAUGAAUGUGGGGUACCAUUCCUUGAUGAUGUGGUCAUGUUUGUAGUCGGCCUUAUUGUCCUUUAGAUGUUCCACGGUGUUCCGCUCGCUCUUCUCAUAGGCCUCCCGGGGCUUCCGGACAGACACCUUGCAUUCUCGGACCUUGUUGACGAUGAAUUCUUGGAUGAGAAACCUGAUAUCUUCCAUGAGUCAUCAUAAAGAAGUCUGAAUAUCUUGGUUGAGAGCUAGACUUUGGAAACAGAGAGACCCUGUAUAAUAACAGACUAAGAAGUAAGGAAGACAAGCCCAGCCAGUCCCACAACUAUUUCAUUAAUACCAGGUAAAGCAACAGACCUGCCAGUGAAGCAUCUUGGAUCCUUUAGCUUUAGGAAUGGAAGUGAGGAUACAGAGAAUGCACAAACGGGAACCAUGUGAGGACAGUGAGAAGGUGGCCAUCUACAAGACGAGAUGAGAGGCCUCAGAAGAAAGAAACCAAAUCUACAGACACCUUGAUCUUCAACUUCUGGCAUCCAAAACUGCUGGGAAUUCUAGAUCAAGGUAUGAAGACAGCCAGUUCCUAGAUUCAGAGCCAUGAGGAAGAAUCCAUUCUGUGACUUUUCCCUAGCUUCUGAUGUUUGUCUGGCAAUCUUUGGCAUUCUUUGGCUCGUAGACCUCUGUUUUCAUCUUCUCAAGAAAAUUUCCCUGUAUGUUUGUCUAGGUCUAAUUUUUCCUUUUUAUAGAACACCAGUAAGAUUGGACUGGAGCUCACGCUAAUGACCUCACUUUAACUUCAUUAUCUCUAUAAAGACCCUAUCUCCAAAUAAAGAUACAUUCUG
rnacentral:lncRNA from 1 species